GUGCCAGCCGCCGCGGUAAUACGUAGGGUGCAAGCGUUAAUCGGAAUUACUGGGCGUAAAGCGUGCGCAGGCGGUUAUGUAAGACCGAUGUGAAAUCCCCGGGCUCAACCUGGGACCUGCAUUUGUGACUGCAUAGCUAGAGUACGGCAGAGGGGGAUGGAAUUCCGCGUGUAGCAGUGAAAUGCGUAGAUAUGCGGAGGAACACCGAUGGCGAAGGCAAUCCCCUGGGCCUGUACUGACGCUCAUGCACGAAAGCGUGGGGAGCAAACAGGAUUAGAUACCCUGGUAAUCCACGCCCUAAACGAUGUCAACUGGUUGUUGGGUGGGUAACCACUUAGUAACGAAGCUAACGCGUGAAGUUGACCGCCUGGGGAGUACGGCCGCAAGGUUGAAACUCAAAGAAAUUGACGG
rnacentral:rRNA from 1 species